GGUUAAGCGACUAAGCGUACACGGUGGAUGCCCUGGCAGUCAGAGGCGAUGAAGGGCGUGCUAAUCUGCGAUAAGCGCCGGUAAGGUGAUAUGAACCGUUAUAACCGGCGAUACCCGAAUGGGGAAACCCAGUGUGACUCGUCACACUAUCAUUAACUGAAUCCAUAGGUUAAUGAGGCGAACCGGGGGAACUGAAACAUCUAAGUACCCCGAGGAAAAGAAAUCAACCGAGAUUCCCCCAGUAGCGGCGAGCGAACGGGGAGGAGCCCAGAGCCUGAAUCAGCAUGUGUGUUAGUGGAAGCGUCUGGAAAGGCGCGCGAUACAGGGUGACAGCCCCGUACACAAAAGCGCAUGUGCUGUGAGCUCGAUGAGUAGGGCGGGACACGUCACGU
rnacentral:rRNA from 1 species